ACGGAGGGGGCGAGCGUUAUUCGGAAUUAUUGGGCGUAAAGGGCGCGUAGGCGGCUUUGCAAGUCAAAGGUGAAAUCCCUCGGCUCAACUGAGGAACUGCCUUUGAAACUGUGAGGCUUGAGUCCGGGAGGGGGUAGCGGAAUUCCCAGUGUAGCGGUGAAAUGCGUAGAUAUUGGGAGGAACACCAGUGGCGAAGGCGGCUACCUGGACCGGAACUGACGCUGAUGCGCGAAAGCGUGGGUAGCAAACAGGA
rnacentral:rRNA from 1 species